GUUAAUUUAAAUUUUAAUAAUAAGUAAAAUUUAAUGCUAAAAAAUCUUUUAAAAAGAUUAAAAAGGGGGAAUAACAAAAAAAAGUAAUUGAGGAAGGUAGAUUUCACAGAAACAGAAAAAAGGGAGUUCUAUAUGGAAGUGGAAAGUCACCUUGAGUUAUGAAGAGAUCUCUGUCUUUUGACACAGGAAGGAAGGUUGAUGUGGGUAAGGUAUGAAAACUUUCCUAGAAGCUACCUAAGCUGACUUUUCCAGACAUGUGACCAAUCCUGGCCUCUUAUGUUCCUUCCUAAAGAAAUCACUACUAGAUAAAAAUCUGAACUGGAAAAGUUAAACACUGGAAAUCAUAUGGCUGACAAGUGGAGAAAAACAGACCCUAACCCAGGACCAUCUGUCUCCAAAGCCUAGCUCUUCUUACAAAUCACACAUCCAAGAGAAGUUAAAUUAACAGUUAAGGAAGCAAAUGGGAUUCCUGAGUUGGUGAGAAACAAACAGCAUCUGACUUGAAGUCCUGAUUUCAAAAUUAAGAUGCCAGAAAUGAAAAGUAUUACUCCAUUUGUGUCAGUACCUCUUAGUUUAAGAAUACUCUCACAUCUAUUCUUGCUUUGAGGUAAGCAAGCUGGGGAGACACUUUCUUGGCAUUCUACCUCACAGAGAAAGAGAACAGGGAUGAAUUCCUUCAACUCCCUUCUGGUUUACCUUCAAACAUACUGUAUCUUCAAGUUCCCUCUCUGAUCUUUCAUUCAUUCAGUAGUCAUUUAUUUAAACACUUCUUGCAAGACAGGUACCCAUAACAGUGACUUUGCAAUCAAUGGGAAGGAGCUUAAAAGCACAGAAGAAACAAUAAUUUUAUUCAAAAAUAUUUCCAUCUUUUUAUAAAUUUUGUCAAUUCUGAUUCCUUUAACACUUUGAUUUAUCCCUUAUUACUGUCUCUAUUGCUUCCUCUUGACCUACACAAAACUCCUCUGCUUCCUUCAUGAGCUAACUUUCCAUUUUCUACUUGUUUCCCCCUGCUGUAAUCUGACUUCUAUACUCACCAUUUAAUUGAAAUUGGUCUAAGAUCACCAACAGUAAUAUAUUGCAAAAUCUUCAUUUUUCUCAAACUACAAUUAUAGAUACCAAUGAUUUUUUUAAAACUUUUAAAGAUUAUUUUUUUUAUUCAUGAGAGACACCCAAAGGCAGAGACUUUUA